CUGCUCUCAGAGCGGGGUUAAGCCAUGCGAGUCGAACGUCUCCAAACCACGUUGGAGGCGUGGCGUACGGCUCAGUAACACGUAGUCAACCUACCCUGGAGAUGUGGAUAACCCCGGGAAACUGGGAUUAAUACACGAUGGGUAAAAUCUUCUGGAAUGGGUUUUUACUAAAAUAAAUGGGCAAGCAUGUUUGUUCGUUUGCUCCAGGAUGGGACUGCGGCCGAUCAGGUUGUUGGUGAGGCAAUGGCUCACCAAGCCUAUAACCGGUACGGGCUUUGAGAGAAGGAGCCCGGAGAUGGACACUGAGAUAAGGGUCCAGGCCCUACGGGGCGCAGCAGGCGCGAGAACUUCGCAAUGUGCGAAAGCAUGACGAGGCUACUCUGAGUGUCAUCCGCUGAGGAUGGCUUUUGCUAGGUCUAAAAAGCCUAGAGAAUAAGGGGAGGGCAAGUCUGGUGUCAGCCGCCGCGGUAAUACCAGCUCCUCGAGUGGUUGGGGUGUUUAUUGGGCCUAAAGCAUCCGUAGCCGGUUCUGCAGGUCUUUCGUUAAAUUCAACGGCUCAACCGUUGAGCUGCGGAGGAUACCACAGGACUAGGAGGCGGGAGAGGCAGAUGGUACUCCAAGGGUAGGGGUAAAAUCCACUGAUCCAUGGAAGACCACCAGUGGCGAAGGCGGUCUGCCAGAACGCGCUCGACGGUGAGGGGUGAAAGCUGGGGGAGCGAACCGGAUUAGAUACCCGGGUAGUCCCAGCUGUAAACGAUGCAAGCUAGGUGACAGAGUGGCUACGUGCCAUUCUGGUGCCGCAGGGAAGCCGUUAAGCUUGCCGCCUGGGGAGUACGGUCGCAAGACUGAAACUUAAAGGAAUUGGCGGGGGAGCACCACAAGGGGUGAAGCCUGCGGGUUCAAU
rnacentral:rRNA from 1 species